rnacentral:rRNA from 1 species
GGGUUGUGAGGUUAAGCGACUAAGCGUACACGGUGGAUGCCCUGGCAGUCAGAGGCGAUGAAGGACGUGCUAAUCUGCGAUAAGCGUCGGUGAGGUGAUAUGAACCGUUAUAACCGGCGAUUUCCGAAUGGGGAAACCCAGUGUGUUUCGACACACUAUCAUUAACUGAAUCCAUAGGUUAAUGAGGCGAACCGGGGGAACUGAAACAUCUAAGUACCCCGAGGAAAAGAAAUCAACCGAGAUUCCCCCAGUAGCGGCGAGCGAACGGGGAGCAGCCCAGAGCCUGAAUCAGUGUGUGUGUUAGUGGAAGCGUCUGGAAAGGCGCGCGAUACAGGGUGACAGCCCCGUACACAAAAAUGCACAUGCUGUGAGCUCGAUGAGUAGGGCGGGACACGUGGUAUCCUGUCUGAAUAUGGGGGGACCAUCCUCCAAGGCUAAAUACUCCUGACUGACCGAUAGUGAACCAGUACCGUGAGGGAAAGGCGAAAAGAACCCCGGCGAGGGGAGUGAAAAAGAACCUGAAACCGUGUACGUACAAGCAGUGGGAGCCUCUUUAUGGGGUGACUGCGUACCUUUUGUAUAAUGGGUCAGCGACUUAUAUUCUGUAGCAAGGUUAACCGUAUAGGGGAGCCGUAGGGAAACCGAGUCUUAACUGGGCGUUAAGUUGCAGGGUAUAGACCCGAAACCCGGUGAUCUAGCCAUGGGCAGGUUGAAGGUUGGGUAACACUAACUGGAGGACCGAACCGACUAAUGUUGAAAAAUUAGCGGAUGACUUGUGGCUGGGGGUGAAAGGCCAAUCAAACCGGGAGAUAGCUGGUUCUCCCCGAAAGCUAUUUAGGUAGCGCCUCGUGAAUUCAUCUCCGGGGGUAGAGCACUGUUUCGGCAAGGGGGUCAUCCCGACUUACCAACCCGAUGCAAACUGCGAAUACCGGAGAAUGUUAUCACGGGAGACACACGGCGGGUGCUAACGUCCGUCGUGAAGAGGGAAACAACCCAGACCGCCAGCUAAGGUCCCAAAGUCAUGGUUAAGUGGGAAACGAUGUGGGAAGGCCCAGACAGCCAGGAUGUUGGCUUAGAAGCAGCCAUCAUUUAAAGAAAGCGUAAUAGCUCACUGGUCGAGUCGGCCUGCGCGGAAGAUGUAACGGGGCUAAACCAUGCACCGAAGCUGCGGCAGCGACGCUUAUGCGUUGUUGGGUAGGGGAGCGUUCUGUAAGCCUGCGAAGGUGUGCUGUGAGGUAUGCUGGAGGUAUCAGAAGUGCGAAUGCUGACAUAAGUAACGAUAAAGCGGGUGAAAAGCCCGCUCGCCGGAAGACCAAGGGUUCCUGUCCAACGUUAAUCGGGGCAGGGUGAGUCGACCCCUAAGGCGAGGCCGAAAGGCGUAGUCGAUGGGAAACAGGUUAAUAUUCCUGUACUUGGUGUUACUGCGAAGGGGGGACGGAGAAGGCUAUGUUGGCCGGGCGACGGUUGUCCCGGUUUAAGCGUGUAGGCUGGUUUUCCAGGCAAAUCCGGAAAAUCAAGGCUGAGGCGUGAUGACGAGGCACUACGGUGCUGAAGCAACAAAUGCCCUGCUUCCAGGAAAAGCCUCUAAGCAUCAGGUAACAUCAAAUCGUACCCCAAACCGACACAGGUGGUCAGGUAGAGAAUACCAAGGCGCUUGAGAGAACUCGGGUGAAGGAACUAGGCAAAAUGGUGCCGUAACUUCGGGAGAAGGCACGCUGAUAUGUAGGUGAAGCGACUUGCUCGUGGAGCUGAAAUCAGUCGAAGAUACCAGCUGGCUGCAACUGUUUAUUAAAAACACAGCACUGUGCAAACACGAAAGUGGACGUAUACGGUGUGACGCCUGCCCGGUGCCGGAAGGUUAAUUGAUGGGGUUAGCGGUAACGCGAAGCUCUUGAUCGAAGCCCCGGUAAACGGCGGCCGUAACUAUAACGGUCCUAAGGUAGCGAAAUUCCUUGUCGGGUAAGUUCCGACCUGCACGAAUGGCGUAAUGAUGGCCAGGCUGUCUCCACCCGAGACUCAGUGAAAUUGAACUCGCUGUGAAGAUGCAGUGUACCCGCGGCAAGACGGAAAGACCCCGUGAACCUUUACUAUAGCUUGACACUGAACAUUGAGCCUUGAUGUGUAGGAUAGGUGGGAGGCUUUGAAGUGUGGACGCCAGUCUGCAUGGAGCCGGCCUUGAAAUACCACCCUUUAAUGUUUGAUGUUCUAACGUUGGCCCCUGAUCGGGGUUGCGGACAGUGUCUGGUGGGUAGUUUGACUGGGGCGGUCUCCUCCUAAAGAGUAACGGAGGAGCACGAAGGUUGGCUAAUCCUGGUCGGACAUCAGGAGGUUAGUGCAAUGGCAUAAGCCAGCUUGACUGCGAGCGUGACGGCGCGAGCAGGUGCGAAAGCAGGUCAUAGUGAUCCGGUGGUUCUGAAUGGAAGGGCCAUCGCUCAACGGAUAAAAGGUACUCCGGGGAUAACAGGCUGAUACCGCCCAAGAGUUCAUAUCGACGGCGGUGUUUGGCACCUCGAUGUCGGCUCAUCACAUCCUGGGGCUGAAGUAGGUCCCAAGGGUAUGGCUGUUCGCCAUUUAAAGUGGUACGCGAGCUGGGUUUAGAACGUCGUGAGACAGUUCGGUCCCUAUCUGCCGUGGGCGCUGGAGAACUGAGGGGGGCUGCUCCUAGUACGAGAGGACCGGAGUGGACGCAUCACUGGUGUUCGGGUUGUCAUGCCAAUGGCACUGCCCGGUAGCUAAAUGCGGAAGAGAUAAGUGCUGAAAGCAUCUAAGCACGAAACUUGCCCCGAGAUGAGUUCUCCCUGAGACUUAGAGUCUCCUGAAGGAACGUUGAAGACGACGACGUUGAUAGGCCGGGUGUGUAAGCGCAGCGAUGCGUUGAGCUAACCGGUACUAAUGAACCGUGAGGCUUAACCUUACAACGCCGAAGGUGUUU